rnacentral:rRNA from 1 species
GACGAACGCUGGCGGCGUGCUUAACACAUGCAAGUCGAACGCUGAAGCUUGGUGCUUGAACUGGGUGGAUGAGUGGCGAACGGGUGAGUAAUACGUGAGUAACCUGCCCUUGACUCUGGGAUAAGCCUGGGAAACUGGGUCUAAUACUGGAUACGACAUGUCACCGCAUGGUGGUGUGUGGAAAGGGUUUUACUGGUUUUGGAUGGGCUCACGGCCUAUCAGCUUGUUGGUGGGGUAAUGGCUCACCAAGGCGACGACGGGUAGCCGGCCUGAGAGGGUGACCGGCCACACUGGGACUGAGACACGGCCCAGACUCCUACGGGAGGCAGCAGUGGGGAAUAUUGCACAAUGGGCGGAAGCCUGAUGCAGCGACGCCGCGUGAGGGAUGACGGCCUUCGGGUUGUAAACCUCUUUCAGCACGGAAGAAGCGAAAGUGACGGUACGUGCAGAAGAAGCGCCGGCUAACUACGUG